GGCGCUGUAGUGUAGCGGUUAUCACUCGAGAUUCUGAUGAAGAACCAACCUUUACCAGAAAUCUUCUCGAAACCCAGGUUCGAUUCCUGGCAGUGCCU